UGGGUGACUGGUACUUCCCAGGUCUGGAGGAAUGCAGUAUAGGCCUGGCUGACAUAUGCUGCCUAGUUCAGGCCCAGUGAGGUGUGACCUGCUAUUAGAAGGUUGGUGAGAAGAGGCCUGACUAGGAGCUACAGAUGAGAAAGAAAACCUGGAUCCAGGAUUUUUCAUGCACCUGUAAAAAAUGGAAAAUAAAGUAUUAGGAGAAG